rnacentral:rRNA from 1 species
GUAGCGGCGAGCGAAACGGGAAGAGCCCAAACCAACAAGCUUGCUUGUUGGGGUUGUAGGACACUCUAUACGGAGUUACAAAGGACGACAUUAGACGAAUCAUCUGGAAAGAUGAAUCAAAGAAGGUAAUAAUCCUGUAGUCGAAAAUGUUGUCUCUCUUGAGUGGAUCCUGAGUACGACGGAGCACGUGAAAUUCCGUCGGAAUCUGGGAGGACCAUCUCCUAAGGCUAAAUACUCUCUAGUGACCGAUAGUGAACCAGUACCGUGAGGGAAAGGUGAAAAGCACCCCGGAAGGGGAGUGAAAUAGAACCUGAAACCGUGUGCUUACAAGUAGUCAGAGCCCGUUAAUGGGUGAUGGCGUGCCUUUUGUAGAAUGAACCGGCGAGUUACGAUUUGAUGCAAGGUUAAGCAGUAAAUGUGGAGCCGUAGCGAAAGCGAGUCUGAAUAGGGCGUUUAGUAUUUGGUCGUAGACCCGAAACCAGGUGAUCUACCCUUGGUCAGGUUGAAGUUCAGGUAACACUGAAUGGAGGACCGAACCGACUUACGUUGAAAAGUGAGCGGAUGAACUGAGGGUAGCGGAGAAAUUCCAAUCGAACCUGGAGAUAGCUGGUUCUCUCCGAAAUAGCUUUAGGGCUAGCCUCAAGUGAUGAUUAUUGGAGGUAGAGCACUGUUUGGACGAGGGGCCCCUCUCGGGUUACCGAAUUCAGACAAACUCCGAAUGCCAAUUAAUUUAACUUGGGAGUCAGAACAUGGGUGAUAAGGUCCGUGUUCGAAAGGGAAACAGCCCAGACCACCAGCUAAGGUCCCAAAAUAUAUGUUAAGUGGAAAAGGAUGUGGCGUUGCCCAGACAACUAGGAUGUUGGCUUAGAAGCAGCCAUCAUUUAAAGAGUGCGUAAUAGCUCACUAGUCGAGUGACACUGCGCCGAAAAUGUACCGGGGCUAAACAUAUUACCGAAGCUGUGGAUUGUCCUUUGGACAAUGGUAGGAGAGCGUUCUAAGGGCGUUGAAGCAUGAUCGUAAGGACAUGUGGAGCGCUUAGAAGUGAGAAUGCCGGUGUGAGUAGCGAAAGACGGGUGAGAAUCCCGUCCACC